rnacentral:ncRNA from 2 species
UAUAUUUGUCGCAUCAUUGGUUUUCAAAUUUCAAUUUAACAAUCAGUUUAAUUGAAAUAGAAAUUAAAAGGGAAUGUCGUGUAAUUCGACAACAGUUCCCGCUGCUGUAAUUCUCAAAACAGCUUUAGGUAUUAUUCCAUUGCCCGCCAGUUGGCGGAUGAGAAGGAACCUAAAGUGAGAUAAGUCAGAAGACCUGCCAGUAUAACAUAGAUUUU